rnacentral:rRNA from 1 species
CCUUCGGGGGUGCUCGAGUGGCGAACGGGUGAGUAACACGUGGGUGAUCUGCCUCGUACUCUGGGAUAAGCCUGGGAAACUGGGUCUAAUACUGGAUAGGACCGCACUUUAGUGUGUGUGGUGGAAAGUUUUUUCGGUACGAGAUGAGCCCGCGGCCUAUCAGCUUGUUGGUGGGGUAAUGGCCUACCAAGGCGUCGACGGGUAGCCGGCCUGAGAGGGUGGACGGCCACAUUGGGACUGAGAUACGGCCCAGACUCCUACGGGAGGCAGCAGUGGGGAAUAUUGCACAAUGGGCGCAAGCCUGAUGCAGCGACGCCGCGUGAGGGAUGACGGCCUUCGGGUUGUAAACCUCUUUCGACAGGGACGAAGCUUUUUGUGACGGUACCUGUAUAAGAAGCACCGGCUAACUACGUGCCAGCAGCCGCGGUAAUACGUAGGGUGCGAGCGUUGUCCGGAAUUACUGGGCGUAAAGAGCUCGUAGGUGGUUUGUCGCGUCGUCUGUGAAAUUCCGGGGCUUAACUCCGGGCGUGCAGGCGAUACGGGCAUAACUUGAGUGCUGUAGGGGAGACUGGAAUUCCUGGUGUAGCGGUGGAAUGCGCAGAUAUCAGGAGGAACACCGAUGGCGAAGGCAGGUCUCUGGGCAGUAACUGACGCUGAGGAGCGAAAGCAUGGGGAGCGAACAGGAUUAGAUACCCUGGUAGUCCAUGCCGUAAACGGUGGGCGCUAGGUGUGAGGGUCUUCCACGACUUUCGUGCCGUAGCUAACGCAUUAAGCGCC